GACGAACGCUGGCGGCGUGCCUAACACAUGCAAGUCGAACGGAAAGGCCCCCCUUCUGUGGGGUGGCCGGGUGGGGAGCGGGAGGGUAACACUUGCGUACCCCCUCCUACUCCUUGGGCUCACUUCAGGAAACUGGGGCUAAAACCGGCUAGGGCCUCUUGCUGCAUGGGGGGGGUCAGAUAGUUUCGGCGGGUGGGGAUGGACUCGCGGCUUAUCAGCUUGUUGGUGGGGUAGUGGCCUACGAAGGCAUUGACGGGUAGCCGGCCUGAGAGGGUGACCGGCCACCUUGGGACUGCGCUACGGCCCAGACUCCUACGGGAGGCAGCAGUGGGGAAUAUUGCACAGUGGGCGGAAGCCUGAUGCAGCAACGCGGCGUGCGGGAUGACGGCCUUCGGGUUGUAAACCGCUUUCGCAUGUGACGAAGCGUGAGUGACGGUAAUGGGUAAAGAAGCCCCGGCUAACUACGUG
rnacentral:rRNA from 1 species